GAUGAAGAACGCAGCGAAAUGCGAUAAGUAAUGCGAAUUGCAGAAUUUCCGUGAGUCAUCGAAUCUUUGAACGCACAUUGCGCCCAUUGGUAUUCCGAUGGGCAUGCCUGUUCGAGCGUCAUUUCAACCAUCAAGCCCCCGGCUUGUGUUGGGGACCUGCGGCUGCCGCAGGCCCUGAAAACCAGUGGCGGGCUCGCUAGUCACUCCGAGCGUAGUAAUACAUCUCGCUCAGGGCGUGCUGCGGGUUCCGGCCGUUAAAAGCCUUAUUUACCCAAGGUUGACCUCGGAUCAGGUAGGAAGACCCGCUGAACUUAAGCAUAUCAAUAAGCGGAGGA
rnacentral:misc_RNA from 1 species